UUCAGCCGUGUGCGGUGAAAGUCGCACGCACGGUUGUGAGGGGGGGAAAAUCUGUGAAGAUCUACCUAUCCCGAU
rfam:Pilayella littoralis complete mitochondrial genome